GUUCCAUCUUUGCACAGCAAUCAAUAUUCUAGCUUUGUUUGCGUAAAAUUUUAGCUAUUAAAGAAUAGCUCAGGAAACAGAGAGGUAGCCGAUUUGACGUAUGUGGGGGAGAUCUAUCAGGGAUGGAGAUUUUCUUCGCCGAGAGGCACUGCUCUUCCGGCCACUGAUCUCUUAAUGCACGCACAGAGCGGACAUUCAGCUUCUUGCUAUUCGAUAUUGCUGGCAGGAAGGUGCGAGCACCGGCCUGGAGAGAAUAAAGGCAUGUUGUUUAGAAACGCAGAGGCUUAACCCGGAGCAUAACUGGUUUGGGGUUUACCACAGAAGUUAUCUGGACACAUCAUUUGAUUUCCAGGUUUUAAAUGUAAUUCUAAGCAAAAUCUGGCUGCAUAGUCCUCUGCUGUGUGACACAGAGAGACAUUAUCAGCCACCAAAUGCCAUUCAGGCUUAAGCUGUGGAAGUGAGUCGUAUAAAUUGGGGCAUUCUCGAGGCCCUAAAGCACGUUGCCUCUCCCAGGAGAAAAUAAGAGGCCUGCUACAAUCUCCCCGUCACUCAGCCAAGAAACCAUCAAGGCUGCUCCUCUCUGUUGAGGUUCAUUUUGGUUUCCCUGCGUCAGAAACGCCUGAGAGUUGCACAACAGGCCGAUCCCCACCCACAGGCCACGUCUGAUUACAUAGGUGGAGUGGGUGGUGCUGGGGCCGUGGAAUCUGGGGCAGGCAUGGAAGGUUCCUCAGCCUCACAGAGCUUCCAGGCAAAUGUAAGUAUUCCGAGUCCCCAGGUCUCAUUCUGAAGCGAGGGUCAGAAUGCAAGUCCCCCUCGGUCCCCUCAAGAGGAAAUGACGUGUGCUGCUUUGCUGGCAAUGACCCAAGGCGGAAGGAGCAGCGAGGAGACAGGAAGCAAGGCCAGAGGGCCUGGACCACACUUGGCGCCGCCCCUUCCGCUUGGGAACCUGACCUUCGGCCUUCCCAUCCAUCACACGUCGGUUCUUUGGUGACCGCCCAACCCCGAAUCGAAACUAGAAGGCGAAGCUGUGAGGCAGGAGUUCUGCGUCACACAGGGGCACCUGCUAAACACAAGAAUGGAUGA
rnacentral:lncRNA from 1 species